rnacentral:rRNA from 1 species
GACAGAGGGUGCAAACGUUGUUCGGAUUUACUGGGCGUAAAGCGCGUGUAGGCGGCUUGGCAAGUCGGAUGUGAAAGCCCACGGCUCAACCGUGGAAGCGCACCCGAAACGGCCUCGCUCGAGUCUCGGAGAGGAAGGUGGAAUGCUUGGUGUAGAGGUGAAAUUCGUAGAUAUCAAGCAGAACACCUGCGGCGAAGGCGGCCUUCUGGACGAUGACUGACGCUGAGACGCGAAAGCGUGGGGAGCAAACAGG